rnacentral:lncRNA from 1 species
AAAGAACAAACCCCGCUGACACCUCGAUCUUGGACUUCUUGCCUCUAGAACUGUGAGAUUAUAAAGUUCUGUUGUUUGAGCUGCCUAGUUUGUGUUAUUUUGUUAUAGCAGCCCGAGGAAACUAUUGCAGUAAGCAGCAUCCUCUGAGAAAUAACUAAGUUGUGUCCUAAGAUUUUCCCCAAACUUUAUUAAAAUGAACUUAUUUAAAAAGAAAACUAGUAAAUAAGAGGUGAGGUGAAGUAAGUAUGACAGGUUCAUAUGCCUAAUUAAAAAGCUGAACAAAAAUUUGAGUUCAAAGAUAGAAGAAAAUAAAAGGCACAAGGAAAAGUAUGUGUCAGCUUAGCUAUCCCAGUCCAUAGUUUCUGAGAACAACCAGAGGUGGGGAUAAGCAAGGACCACUCAGAAAGGGAGUAUCUCACAGGUGUGUGGGAAGAAGAGAGCUUGAAUCUGGGAAAAAAAGUUAAGCUAAGAAUAGGAAUUAGAAAGGAUGGAAACCGAAGGAUAGAAUAGGGAUGGUAGAGGAAGAGGCCAUCGUAGGAGGUGGUAAAAGCAAAGACUGUGAGCUAGGAGAACAAAGCUGGCUGGAUCCUGAGGGUAGUGAGUUACUAUAGUGAGUGUAGUGAAUGAGUUGAGGUGGGGGAAAGUAAGAGCAUCUGGAGAACAGAAGAUGGAGAUGAAUGUGAUCUGAGAUUAAGGUGGGAAAGUAAUUUAGGAAUAAGGGAUGGAGUGGGUGCACUGGAGAAGGUAUUUUGAGGGAGGACACAGAAGUGAGAGGCACAGGUGGUGGCUAUAGAAGGGGCCCUACAGAAUGGGUGGGCUUAAGGAGAAGCUAGAGAAAUGCAAGUUGGGAACA